GCAUGCAUCUCCAUGGAGCCCUGCUGGGAUCCCUAAUAGGAUUCUUCCCACGAACUUUUGCUUGUGGGCGCCUCUGCAGUUCUACAGGCUGUGGCUUAAUGAUCCUUAAAGAGACAAGCUAGAGAGGACUUCCUUGUGGCAUCAGGAAUGACAGAGCUUUUGAGGCCAGCCUCUUCCCUCUGCAUCAGCAUCAUCAGGAGCAGGAUUCGUCACCCUUCACAGAAGACUGGCCUGCGUUCCGACCUGCUCCAGCCACCUCGUAGCCCUGGCGCUCCGCAGUCCAGUGAAGGGCAUGAAACCCUCGAUGCUUUGCUUUUUGCCGAUUUAGCAGGGGAGGUGAGGCUGUGGCAGGUAGACUCACAGAGGAGCUGCAGACAAGAAUCCAGCUGCAUCCUACCUUUGUGAAAGUUAGAGUUUAUUGGGGAAAACAAGGGUAAGUUUAGAUGGUACAAACGAAGAAGGGAAUCAUUCAUAAGAAGAUGUACAAAAGGAAAUAAAUAAGAUUUGAUGUUGGACUGAA